UCUCACACGCGUGCCAUGUCAGCACGUGUGCUGCAAAUCACCUUUUCCUCACACAAAAAUAUCCAUUUCCUCACGCCCACCGUCGUUCAUGAGAACAUUACUGUCGUUUGGAAUAAUCCCGCAAUCCAAACGCGAUUUGCCCAAAUCAUGAUUGGCGCCGCUUCGACUCUAUCUUCGAUCUUCUUCGCCAACGCUUCGGUUUCUUCUCGAUGGGCAUCCAACCGCUGGACUCUCGUGGUGGCGCCUAUCUCCCGCGCGCGCACGUUAGCCACCGGCCGCGUUCUAAAGAAGCUCGGCGAGAAACGAAGGGCAGCUCCUGCCUAUUGCUAUUCCAAGCCAGAGAUUGGAUGUGUAAUCAGCAAUCCUCCAACGAAUAACUAUCCUGAAUACAAUCGCUUACUUCCAUGUCCAUCACAAAAUGGACCACUGAGGAUUGAACACUUAGUAGUAUCGGAAGGAGGUCCGGUUCUUGAAUAUAUUUGCAGAGCUUUGGAUCUUCCUCCACUGUUUGUCUCAGAUCUUAUCCAUUUUGGAGCCGUGUAUUAUGCAUUGGUGUGCCCAAAGCCGCCUCCAACUGCAACUCCUGAGCAAAUCCGCAUCUUUAAAGAGGUGACAGAACCAUCGGUUCUCAAAAAACGAGCAUCAAUUAAAGGGAAGACGGUGAGGGAAGCACAAAAGACAUUCAGGAUAACUCACGUCGAUGAAUUUGUUGAAGCUGGCACAUACUUACGUGUACAUGUACAUCCGAAACGCUUCCCAAGGUGCUACGAAAUUGAUUGGAAAUCAAGAAUUAUAGCUGUCACUGAAUCUUAUGUGGUUCUUGACAAACCAGCUGGUACAUCAGUUGGAGGAACAACAGACAACAUUGAAGAAAGCUGUGCAACAUUUGCCUCUCGCGCUUUGGGAUUAGAAACUCCCUUGAAAACUACCCAUCAGAUUGAUAAUUGCACUGAAGGCUGUGUUGUAUUUGCUAAGACAAAGGAGUAUUGCUCCGUGUUUCAUGGAAAAAUUCGGGAAAAACAAGUGAAAAAGCUUUAUCUUGCUCUUGCUGCCACACCUGUUCGAGUUGGAAUAAUUUCCCACUACAUGCGUCCGUUGAAUGUUGCUCCAAGGAUUAUUUCAGAAGAUUCUAUUGGAGGAUGGCAUCUUUGCCAACUUGAGAUAUUGGAAUGCAAGGAGGUUCCUUGGCCUAGUGCUGACAUUGAAAAAAGCUAUUGUAUUGAAGAUUGUGGUUGGCCCUCAAAGGAUGCUGCAUAUGAAUGUAAAAUCAACCUAUUGACAGGUCGAACUCACCAGGUUCGUGCACAACUGGCUGCUUGCGGUGCACCUAUAGUGGGUGAUUCAAUGUACAUGCCUGCUGUAAUUGCAGAAAUGGACAAUCCCAAAAUUAACCCAUUCGGCAAAUCGAAAUCUCAAUUUACAGACGAAGAUGAUAGAAGGAGAGCCAUUGAAGAGUGGAUUGCAUGCCACGGUAAGGAACCAAAUGUAGCCAUCGGUCUCCAAGCAUGUCAGAUAUCAUGGGAUGAUGGAGAAUGCAUUUAUGAAGCUAGGUCUCCAUGGUGGAGAUGACAAGUGUACAAAACCAGGUAUCAGGCUUUUGAUUGCUGCUCUGUGUUUUGCAAUGAACUCUUUGUACCAAGUUGCUGAUAGCUUUGGAGUUCUCUUCAGUGUUGUGAAAUCAACGUGGUAAAGCCCAAACCUCUUUGAAUAUCCAAAUAUCCACUCGAAGUUGUCAAGCAGGGACCAUGUGAAAUAACCCCUCACAUCUGCUCCUUUCCUGCUCAUUCAAACAAUUAUACAGAAAUUAGAAGGCUAGAAACAAACCAACUAGUCUAAAUCCAAGCAUGUGAAAUCCCAUCUAUGUUAGCAUAUGCUUGAAUCCUUCAAUUUGGUGUUUUAAAUAGCAUUCCCAGUGUAUGAAACAAACUAGGUAGUCUAAAUCCAAGUGUGUGAAACCCCAUCUACGUUAGUUUCUAUAAUAUGCACAAAUCCUUCAAUUCAGUGUUUUAAAUAGCAUCCGCUACAUAGCAUAGUGUAGCCUUCACACUAUCUAGCGCAUGAAAAUAGUAAAUGUCACAUGUAACAUAUGCUGCAGGCACAUGUAGCGUACACUACAUGCUAUGUAGUGCACAUUCAGCACUGUUUUCACUAAUAAAUCAAUUAAUGUUUUCAAUGAUUUGCCGCAUUUUGAUAAAUUUGCACCAAAAUUAGUCAAUGAUUUUAACAUUUUAGUGAAAUAACAUGAGCAACAAAAUUGGUUUCGUUGUUAUCUUUUCUAUCUUUGUUCUUUAUAUUUACUCUUUGCCCUGUUUUUCCUAUUAUUGUAAUUAACGUGCUACAUAGCUUACGCCCACCAUGCAUUCAAAAGGUGAAUGCUAUGCUAUGUGUGAUUCAAUAUCUGAAACAGGCGUCUGCUUGUACCACUGUAACCUACGAUGGUAUCAAGCAGAAAUGGGGCCCUCGUGAUGUAUUCACAACAUCCAACCCGUCUAUCAGAUUUGUGAUCUCACAGUACCCUUAAAUCACAAAAAUGAGCCCAAAUGAAAACUCAGGUGGGCCAAAGAACAGUGGACAAGUUGAGAGGGGAUGUCCAUCCUUGAUUUAUGUGGAGGGGCCACCUUUUUGUUUAUACAGAAUCCAGGAUGUCUAGACCCUUUAUCUGCCAUGGAUGAAGGAUCAGCACAAAAAUAGGCUGUAAUGCAACCCACCACGUGGACCCUUGUGAGAGUCAUGAGUCGGCAUCCCCUCCCACCAUGUUACCUUUGCUGUGACCCAGAGUUUUGGAUCAAGCUGAUGUUUGGGUCAGGGGGUAAGCUGAGGGAACACAUCUGAUGGACAGUUUGGAUGUGAUACCUACAACAUUUGGGCCCCUUUCUUCCUGGUACCACCUUAUGCUUAUAGUGAUGCUGGGACCACUACAGUUCACCUCUUUAAAAUAUUGGUUCAAUUUCCUCUGAGUACCGUGUCGGAUGUGAUAUGGGGUUUGAGUAUGGGUAUGGCUCAUUCAUAUUGAAAUAUUUUACAUAAAAAGUAUUUAAAAAAUCAUCAUUGGUUUGUCCCAGCUAUUAAGCAACUCAUGCCAUUUGAGGUGGCCCAGCCCAGCAUUCAUUCGCAAAUCCUGUAGUGAAAUUGAGACUGCUCGACCUCAUAAGCUAAUUCGCAUGUAGUUUCCCAUGUGGUGAUUCCUGUGGUGAUUUGAUUUAGGAAUUCACGUAGUUAGUUGCGCCAAGGUAGCGACGUUAGUUGAUUAAUCGAAUUCAACAACACUGCUUGCAAAUAUUGCUUCACCAAUAAUUCCCAAGGCACUAGCCCCAGUAAGUGAACAACUCUUCUUCCCUUGUCCUCAUUUCUGGCCCUUCAGCUCGAAUCUGAGUUCCUCUAAUACUGAGAUGUCUCUGGUUAUAUUAGCACAUGGCAGAACCAUCUCAAUUUGCUCUUCCCAAUUCUAUUUUCUUAAAAAAAUAAUAGAAAUUAUUUAAUACUUAAAAAUACUAAAAUGCUAUCUAUAUUACACAAAAAACAAUGAACAUUGAACUAAAGUAAAAAUUGUAAAUAUCAGUAUUAAGUGAUCUUACUUAUAACUUAAGGGCAUGAUGGAUUUGUUAUCUUAGCAUCAUACAUGUGAUUUCUAAAGCGAUGAGCCAUAAGCCAUAUUACUGAUAAUCACCAUCUUGCACCAGCCGUAGCCGACCCCAAUUAAGCUGGAUAAGGCUUCAAUGGUGAUGAUGACCAUAUUGUAGCAACCUCAAUUUGUAUAAAACCUAAUCCACUUUGGUUAUAUUUGCUUUAAUUUGUUUGUGAAAUUUUAUUUAAAUUGUUUUGUGAUAAUACCUACCAAAAUGCAAACUAGUCAUUGUGCAAUUACUUGCAAUUUUCUUUUAUUCCACUAGUAUAUUGUGUAUUAGAACUACGAAGCAUGAACAGAAUGGCACACCAGUUAACUUUGUGACUGUGUCCAUGCCCCAUGCAUGCACCUUAUGACAAACUUACGUGUGGAUAUAGGAAUUCCCACAUGCUCAUGAGUCAUGAUGCUCCCCAAAUAUAUUUAAAAUACACCCAGCCAUGCAGGUCAACAUAUGAUUCAUGCAUGGAAAACAUAGAAAUGCAUCCACAAAAGCACACAGAUAUACAUAAACUUCAUAUUCAUGACUACAUUCAUGCAUGCAUUUGUACUUGCCAAUUGAUACCUGAUUGCUGUGGCAAGGGCGUCCAAAUAGCUACUCAUGUACUCGAUUCUUUUCACAUCAUGGAGGAAAGAUUCAAUUGGGGCAUCAGGAUUGUUAUCUUCAGGAUAGCCUACAAGAUCCAAUGUAUUUCAAUUUAUACAUAUCAGCUUGAACAAGGAUGUGGGUAGAAGUAUUAAGAAAAUACUGGAUGUCCUAUGGUCUAACUGAAGUUAUGGCUCUUGAUAGAGUAGAAUGACAGAAAAGGGUUCUUGUAGCUGACCUUGAUUAGUUGGGAUAAGGCUUAGAUGAUGAUAAUGAUGAUAAUGUGCUUGAAAAAAAAAAUUAAAAAAAUUAAAAGCUAUGAACAGAUAUGUAGCCUAGAAUGAGAAUGAGAUCAAAUGUGCCCCAACUGGGAGCAUUUUGUGGAGAUAGCGGUGUAUCUCACAAAAUGUGCACGGAGAGAAUGGACAAAUGUCCCCAUCUCAAGAAAAGCCCCCAAAUUUGAAGGUUAUGGCAACAGGUCAGACCACCUAUCAUCUUAUUCUCAUUUUGGGUGGCGGAUGUUUGCCACAGUCGACAUUUGACUGGCAUCCAAACCAGUAUGAUAAUUUUGGGACUUACAAACUUGAUCUCACCAUUUUCAGCGACAAACAUGGGUGUAUUAUUGUAUCUCUCCUUCAGAUACAUGAGUAUCUUCUCCAUUCCUUGUGGGUAGACGUAGUACCACUCCAUUGUAGUCUGCACGAACAGAAACCAAGGUAUUUAAAUGUCAACACAAGUUGUGAGACUCUGGCAUGCAUUCACCAUGCUAUAUUUUGAUGGUGUGACUCAUGUACCGACCGUGUUGCAUGCUUGCAAAGAAUCCGGAUCAUCCAAAUUAUGGGUUUCUCUGUGGAUAGAGUAUAGCUAGAGAAUCGCCUAGAUCAAACUAUCCUACCACAAAUUGCUGGUAAGAAAAGAAUAUGGUCAAAAUUUAAUGAGCAAGAUCAGAUGGUUAGGUACAUCUGAUGAGUGCAAUGUUCCAGCUCAAUCCAUCCACAGUAGGGCCUGCAUGGAUGGUCUGGAUCAAUGUGCAUAAGCCCUAUGUUGUUAGCGAUACUGAUGGUGGUGGUUGUGAUGAUGAUGAUGGAGAGGUUACUCACAGGUUCACCGAUGUUUACACCAUCCUUUUGUCCAGUCUGGGAUGCAUAACCCUCUGACCAGGAAUUUCCCAUUCCGGAUUUACAUGGAGAGAAAAUGCAGUCUUUAGCAUAGAGACUUGUGUAGUGGUUGAUUCCAAUGAAAUCUAACCCCUUCCGCAAUUUUUUCAUGUCAUUCUGUGAAAAUGUAGGUAAAUUGGAGCCCAAGAUCUCCUGCAUCUCAUCCGGGUAUCUUCCAAAUAUAAUUGGAUCCAAGAACCUGCAGGAAGAAUCAGGUGUCACCUUCUCUGUAUGUGAAGGACAAAGGUGUGCAAGAUCCAAGCCACUCAUCAGAGAGUUCCGAAAAAGAUGCAGAUGAGAAUUUCGUGCAAAUAGUUUGUGUGGGGCCCACCGUUGUGUAUGGAAACUAUCCAUCACAUUCAGCAGGGCUGUGUCAACAUGAAAAUGGGAUGCCCUCAAAAUCAAGCUAAUCCAACCAUCAGGUGCGCCAACCUUGUGAAUUUGUAGGUUUUUGGGUGGUUGUCGAUUAUUUUCUAUAGCCUGGCUUACAUAAUGAUUGGAUCAGCCUGAUUUUUGUUGCGUCCAGUGUCAUGGUGGGUUGACCGUACUGGAUGGGGUGGAGGCCCUUCACUAUAGUGGGUCCUGCAUUGCACUAAAUUAUCAUCUACAACUAGUUCCAUAUGAGAUGUUCCCUGGGCAAUUAAGAGGCUGUGUACCGGAGAACCAAGAUUACGGAGACAAGGGUGAUGAGAUGGAUGUGUCUGAAGGCUGCAAAGCAUGUAAUUAAGGGCCUGUUUGGAUACCACCAAAUAAGUUACUUUUUCUACUUACAGCAGUAGAUAAGUAACUUAUUUGAGGUAAGUUAGGUUUAUGAUCAAUUAUAGGUAGUUAUUUUAUUUUAUUUUUAUUUUUAUUAUUUUUUUAAACUUAAAGUUACUUAAUCACUUCAGUUUAAUAAGUAGAAAUCAAGAUAAGCUACUUAAGGCAUAA